rnacentral:rRNA from 1 species
CACGUAGGGGCCAAGCGUUGUCCGGAUUUAUUGGGCGUAAAGAGCUCGUAGGCGGUUGGGUAAGUCGGGUGUGAAAACUCCAGGCUCAACUUGGAGACGCCACCCGAUACUGCUCUGACUUGAGUUCGGUAGGGGAGUGGGGAAUUCCUGGUGUAGCGGUGAAAUGCGCAGAUAUCAGGAGGAACACCGGUGGCGAAGGCGCCACUCUGGGCCGAAACUGACGCUGAGGCGCGAAAGCUAGGGGAGCAAACGGG